GCAAGUCGAGGGGCAGCAUAGAAGUAGCAAUACUUUGGUGGCGACCGGCGCACGGGUGAGUAACGCGUAUGCAACCUACCUAUCAGAGGGGAAUAACCCGGCGAAAGUCGGACUAAUACCGCAUAAAACAGGGGCACCGCAUGGUGAUAUUUGUUAAAGAAAUUCGCUGAUAGAUGGGCAUGCGUUCCAUUAGGUUGUUGGUGAGGUAACGGCUCACCAAGCCGACGAUGGAUAGGGGAACUGAGAGGUUGGUCCCCCACACUGGUACUGAGACACGGACCAGACUCCUACGGGAGGCAGCAGUGAGGAAUAUUGGUCAAUGGGCGGGAGCCUGAACCAGCCAAGUCGCGUGAAGGAAGAAGGAUCUAUGGUUCGUAAACUUCUUUUGCAGGGGAAUAAAGUGCAGGACGUGUCCUGUUUUGUAUGUACCCUGAGAAUAAGGAUCGGCUAACUCCGUGCCAGCAGCCGCGGUAAUACGGAGGAUCCGAGCGUUAUCCGGAUUUAUUGGGUUUAAAGGGUGCGUAGGUGGUUUGAUAAGUCAGCGGUGAAAGUUUGCAGCUUAACUGUAAAAAUGCCGUUGAAACUGUCGGACUUGAGUGUAAAUGAGGUAGGCGGAAUGCGUGGUGUAGCGGUGAAAUGCAUAGAUAUCACGCAGAACUCCGAUUGCGAAGGCAGCUUACUAAGCUACAACUGACACUGAAGCACGAAAGCGUGGGGAUCAAACAGGAUUAGAUACCCUGGUAGUCCACGCAGUAAACGAUGAUUACUAGCUGUUUGCGAUACACAGUAAGCGGCACAGCGAAAGCGUUAAGUAAUCCACCUG
rnacentral:rRNA from 1 species